rnacentral:rRNA from 1 species
CCUACGGGUGGCAGCAGUGAGGAAUAUUGGUCAAUGGGCGGAAGCCUGAACCAGCCAAGUAGCGUGAAGGAUGAAUGCGCUACGGGUUGUAAACUUCUUUUGUAAAGGGAUAAAGUGAGGCACGUGUGCCUGUUUGUGGGUACUUUAUGAAUAAGGAUCGGCUAACUCCGUGCCAGCAGCCGCGGUAAUACGGAGGAUCCGAGCGUUAUCCGGAUUUAUUGGGUUUAAAGGGAGCGUAGGUGGGUUGUUAAGUCAGUGGUGAAAGUUUGCGGCUCAACCGUAAAAUUGCAAUUGAUACUGGCUGUCUUGAGUACAGUUGAGGUAGGCGGAAUUCGUGGUGUAGCGGUGAAAUGCUUAGAUAUUACGAAGAACUCCGAUUGCGAAGGCAGCUUACUAACCUCCCACUGACACUGAUGCUCGAAAGUGUGGGUAUCAAACAGGAUUAGAUACCCUUGUAGUC